GAUGAACGCUGGCGGCGUGCCUAAUACAUGCAAGUCGAGCGAACGGACGAGAAGCUUGCUUCUCUGAUGUUAGCGGCGGACGGGUGAGUAACACGUGGAUAACCUACCUAUAAGACUGGGAUAACUUCGGGAAACCGGAGCUAAUACCGGAUGAUAUUUUGAACCGCAUGGUUCAAAAGUGAAAGACGGUCUUGCUGUCACUUAUAGAUGGGUCCGCGCUGCAUUAGCUAGUUGGUAAGGUAACGGCUUACCAAGGCAACGAUGCAUAGCCGACCUGAGAGGGUGAUCGGCCACACUGGAACUGAGACACGGUCCAGACUCCUACGGGAGGCAGCAGUAGGGAAUCUUCCGCAAUGGGCGAAGGCCUGACGGAGCAACGCCGCGUGAGUGAUGAAGGUCUUCGGAUCGUAAAACUCUGUUAUUAGGGAAGAACAUAUGUGUAAGUAACUGUGCACAUCUUGACGGUACCUAAUCAGAAAGCCACGGCUAACUACGUG
rnacentral:rRNA from 1 species